rnacentral:rRNA from 1 species
UACAGAGGUCCCAAGCGUUGUUCGGAUUCACUGGGCGUAAAGGGUGCGUAGGUGGCCAGGUAAGUUUGGUGUGAAAGCUCGGAGCUUAACUCCGAAAAGUCAUUGAAUACUAUCUGGCUGGAGGGUCGGAGGGGAGACUGGAAUUCUCGGUGUAGCAGUGAAAUGCGUAGAUAUCAGGAGGAACACCGAUGGCGAAGGCAGGUCUCUGGGCCACUACUGACGCUGAGAAGCGAAAGCAUGGGGAGCGAACAGG